UUAUCCUUCAUGUAAGCUGCCCAUGUCCCAUGGGUAAUCAAACUCCACAAAUGAGUUGAGACUGAAAGUGCUGGCUAAAGGUUAAAAUAACAUAAAAUUUUAUGCGUUGUGUUUUGAUGAUUCUGUCAAUAUACAUGGAAUUGAACUGUAGGUGGGAACUUCUGGACAAGACACUUGGUGUGGAAUUCACAUGGACCUGUGUAUAGUCUGCUGUGAGAUUUGCAUCAAUGUUAAAGGCCAAAUAAUGACAGUGUAAAAUGGGAAAACGGAGGACUGAGAAGAUUUUAAAGAACAACAGAGGAUUACUAAGAAGGAAAUAUGCAGACAAAAAAUGAGGCAAGGAUGCCCUGAGGCAGGGUGCAUUGGUGAGACCAAACAGAGGCUACAGCAACGCAUGACUGGACACCACGCAACAAUCAACAGACAGGAGUGUUCCCUCCCAGCCAGAGAACACUUCGGCAGUCCUGGACAUACAAUCUUGGACCUUUGGGUGACCAUCCUCUAGGGCGGACUUCAGGACAGGUACCAACGCAAAGUGGCCAAGCAGAGGCUGAUAGCCAAAUGGGGGAGGGCCUCAACCGGGACCUUGAGUUCAUGUCACACUACAGGUGACCCCACUACACACACACACACACACACACACGUUUGUGUGGUGAAUUUGUACUUGCAGAAUUACAUUUUAUUUUUCUCAAAAACUACAUGAAUUCAUGUAAGAUUCUGUAAAUUCCUUUUUAGAUUAGAAUCAGUCAGAACAUUGGGGCACAGACAGCCUCACACAGGGCACCUUACACCUUCGAUGAAUUAUCUGGGCUGACAUGGCACCUAUUGUUAAAGUUCACUUGAGAAUGUAACUUUAAGGAAGUUCUGGGAUUUACAUAUGAAAGAACUGAAACCAGCAUGGUCAUUCUAAAAGAUGAGAGACUUCACAAACAAUCCAGGUCUUUUUCAAUAUAUAAUUUUUUGUUACAUUACACUGUAUACUUUUAGUAUAAGUUCUGCAUCAUGGUCCU